rnacentral:tRNA from 1 species
GCCCAGAUGGCGGAAUUGGUAGACGCGUCGGUCUCAAACACCGAUGGGGUAACACUCGUGCCGGUUCGAUCCCGGCUCUGGGCACCA